GCAGUAUUUAUUAGAUAACAAAUCAAUAUUCCUCUGGUCUAUUUGAUGAUUCAUAAUAACUAGCUUAUCGAAUCGCUGGGUUGUACCCGCGAUAAAUCAAUCAAGUUUCUGCCCCAUCAGCUUGAUGGUAGUGUAUUGGACUACCAUGGCUUUUACGGGUAACGGGGGAUUAGGGUUCGACACCGGAGAGGGAGCCUGAGAAACGGCUACCACUUCUACGGAAGGCAGCAGGCGCGUAAAUUACCCAAUCCUAAUUCAGGGAGGUAGUGACAAGAAAUAAUAGACCGGCGUAAGCCGGGUUUACAAUGAGCCUAAUUUACACAGCUUAGUGAGGAUCCAUUGGAGGGCAAGUCUGGUGCCAGCAGCCGCGGUAAUUCCAGCUCCAAUAGCAUAUAUUAAAAUUGCUGCAGUUAAAAAGCUCGUAGUUGGAUUUCUGUGAGACUUGUUUUGUUCGGCCUGCGGGUCGGGCGAAUCACUUUCACAUCCUUCUGUUAACCUUACACUCCUUCUACCGGUGUGUCUGU
rnacentral:rRNA from 1 species